GGGGGCAAAUGCGCCGUUUUAGCAUGCAGUCGAACGGUAGAGUAGUGCUUGCACUACUUGAGAGUGGCGAACGGGUGACCAUUGCGUAGAUGAUCUGCCUUUCGGUUGGGGAUAGCCUAUGGCAAUAUGGGGUAAUACCGAAUGAGAUCUUUUGGCUAUGGCUAAAGGAUGAAAGGGGCUUCGGCCUCGCCGAGGGAUGAGUCUGCGUCUGAUUAGUUAGUUGGUGGGGUAAAGGCCUACCAAGGCGACGAUCAGUAGCCGGCCUGAGAGGGUGACCGGCCACAUUGGGACUGAGACACGGCCCAGACUCCUACGGGAGGCAGCAGCUAAGAAUCUUCCGCAAUGGGCGCAAGCCUGACGGAGCGACGCCGCGUGGGUGAAGAAGGCCGAGAGGUUGUAAAGCCCUUUUUUCAUAGAAGAAUAAGCCUAAGAGGUAAUGCUUGGGUGAUGACGUUAUAUGAGGAAUAAGCUCCGGCCAAUUACGUGCCAGCAGCCGCGGUAACACGUAAGGAGCGAGCGUUGUUCGGAAUUAUUGGGCGUAAAGGGCUCGUAGGCGGCCUGCCAAGUCCCACGUGAAAGACCAGGGCUCAACCCUGGGGGCGCGAGGGAAACUGGUAAGCUGGAAUCUUGGAGGGGGUACUGGAAUUCCUGGUGUAGGGGUGAGAUCUGUUGAUAUCAGGAAGAACACCGGAGGCGAAGGCGAGUACCUGGCCAAAGAUUGACGCUGAUGAGCGAAAGCGUAGGGAGCGAACAGGAUUAGAUACCCUGGUAGUCUACGGCGUAAACGAUGUGCACUUGAUGGCGGUCCCGUUCGGGAUCGCUGUCGGAGCUAACGCAUUAAUUGCACCGCCUGGGGAGUACGCCGGCAACGGUUAAACUCAAAUGGAAU
rnacentral:rRNA from 1 species